rnacentral:lncRNA from 1 species
UUUUUUUUUUUUUUUUUUUUUUUUUUGCUUUUAAUUUUGAGGCAAGGUCUCAUGUUGCUCAUACUAGCCUCAGCUCAAGACGACCUUUGUCUUUUUAUCCUUCUUCUAUCUCCCACAUGCUAGGAUCACUGGCAUGCACUAUCACACCUGCUUUAUGUGAUAUGUGAGGCAAGCACCACCAGCCGUGCCUGUUAGUCCACUUUCUACCACUCAUGACAAGUCCAUGUGAAAAAUCGAUAUGAAGGAGAGAAGAUUUACCUUGGCUCUUAUAUAUUCAGAAGUCAUGUUCAUGACUGGCUGGCUACAUUGCUUUAGUACUUAGGACAAGGUGGAGCAUCAUGGCAGGGAGUGUGCCGUGGAGCUAGAGUCUCACUUCAUGGUGGCUGGAAGCUAAAGGAAAACACAAAGGCUGGGGACAAAGCGUACCCUUCAGGAGCCUCCAGUGACUUGAUUCCUCAUCGGCUUUCCUAGGCCUCACAUUGUGAAGUUUUCACUACCUCUCAAAAAGUAGCCUAUUGAUGAGGUCAGAACCUUCAUGAUCCCGCCACCUCCCCCAAAUCUCACCUUUGAACAUGGCUGUAUUGUAGACUAAUCCAUAAAUGCAUGAGCCUUAGGGACACUUAAAAUCUGCAUCGUAGCAGAGAGAAAAGGAUCUCCUGACUCUUGUUGGACUUAGUUUUUGAAAGCCUCUGGUAGUGUAGACUGCUCACCACUCUAUGUAAGCAUAAAGCACCUAAGGACACACGCCUCUUUUUUUAUUGGAUAUUUUAUUUAUUUACAUUUUAAAUGUUAUCCCCUUUCCCAGUUUCCCGCCCCAGAAAGUUCCAUUCCAUCCUCACUCCUCCUGCUUCCCACCCACUUCUGCCUCCCACCCUUGCAUACCCCUACACUAGAGCAUUGAGCCUUCAUGGGAGCAAGGGCCUGACAAAGCUAUCCUCUGCUACAUAUAUGGCUAGAGACGUGGGUCCCUCCAUGUGUACUCAUUGGUUGGUGGUUUAUACCCUGGAAGCUCUGGUUGGUUAAUAUUGUUGUUCUUCCUAUGGGGUUGCAAAUCCCUUAAGCUCCAUCAGUCCUUUCUCUAAUUCCUCCAUUGGGGACCCCAUGAUCAAUCAGUUCAAUGGUUGGCUUCGAGCAUCUGCCCUCUGUAUAUGUCAGGCUCUGGCAGAGCCUCUCAGGAGACAGCUAUAUCAGGCUCCUGUCAGCAUGCACUUCUUGGCAUCUGCAAUAGUGUCUGCAUUUGGUGACUGUAUAUGGGAUGGAUCCCCUGGUAGGGCAGUCUCAGGAUGGCCUUUCCUUCAGUCUCUGCUCCACACUUUGUCUCCUUAUUUGCUCCCUUGAGUAUUUUGUUACCCUCUUCUAAGGAAGGACCAAAGCACCCACACUUUGGUCUUCCUUCUUCUUGAGCUUAAUGUGGUCUGUGAAUUGCAUCUUGGGUAUUCUGAGCUUUUGGACAUAUGCCUUUUAAUGCACUGUAAUCCUUCAGUUCAAGCCAGUGACUCUCUGUAGUGUUUAGUAGAAGCUUCAAUGUCUGUAUUAUCAGUGGAGGAAAGUGGCUAGUGUACACUAGAAGAGGUGGUUAUUCUUUAAGAUGGCAUGCAUCUUCACAACACCCUUUUCUAAUGGACCAUGAUCCUGUGCAGCAGGGUUUCUGAACCUCAGCACUGCUAAUAUUUUGAGCUAGAUUUUUCCUUUGCUGGAGGCUUUCCUGGACAUUAUAGGACAGUUCGUAGCAGCAUUGGUCUCUUAGACUUCACUGUAGCAAUCAAUAGUAUAUUAGGCAUUGCUACAUGUCACCUGUAGGGCAAAUUUUCCCAAGUCAAGAAUUACUGCUGUCCUUGAUCUGACCUUGUAUACUGACUCUAAAACCUGAGUCUUACCUAACAUGCGGCUUUUAUUAUGAGACUACUCAAAACUGGCCAUGGAUGUGAUAUCCUAGGCAGGUAGAGAUGGAUGGAUCUCCUCACGGCACACCCUUCAAUCAUUUAUUGACUGAGCUUUUACUGAACACAUGUGCCAGAAGGCCUCAGAACUGCAGGAUGAAGCACAAGCUGUCACUAAGGUUAGAUGUUGCUUCUUUGUGCUCACAAAGUAUGAAACAUCAAAUAGAAGGUGCCCUGUGGGGAAGACACAGUUUGACAGAGCUAGGAGGCCCAGAGAAGAUGUCAUUGAAUUUGAGAAGCGGAGGAUACAUGCAUAGAAGGCAAGUGAAGGAAAGAGUGUCUCUGGUCUUUAUGCCAAAACCCUAAACAGAAAGCAGCUUCACACAUUUAAUGGACUUCAGGCCAGUCUACUUAAUAUGUAGGAAACAAGGCAGACUCAGACAGAUGAGCCAGAACAGAACUGUCCAAGCCAGACUGUCAUGGAGAUUAACGAUUUUAUCCUAAGAGCAGUGGGGAGCCACUGAACAAUUUUAUAUAGGAGUGACGUGACAUGUUUCGAUUGGUACUUUGAAAAGAUCAAUCUAUUUCUGCCUGGGUCCAGAGAGUGUGAGUUUCCCCCAAGGCCAUGAGGGUUCAUCUUGUUCCCUGCUGGGCCACUUGGAUAUGGAGCCUUUUGACAUUGCUGCUGCCUUUGGUGCCCGUGCCCAUCCUCCAAACACCCCAGUUGGGAAUCUUUUAAAUCUUC